CUCUUCUUCUCCUUCUCUAUUCUUCUAGAAACGUGACCCCCAUUCCGAUAGAAAUUUCUCUUUUGCCAACCAUAUCUUUCUCUCUCUCUCUUGCACGCUGGUAAUGACCUUUCUCCAAUGAAAGACGACGAUUCCAUGACGAUGAAUCCCAAUCGACAAUCUUGCGUCUCUCUCUAUCUUGCGUAAGCCACGACGUGUCUAGCUAACGCCACACCCAGCCACUGGGCACCGCUCGCCUCGCCAGACGACCACCACCACAUGCUGAAUCCUUCGAAGGUCACACAGAUCUAAAGUUGUUAGACUCGAUCUGUAUCGUCUUGCUGAGUUCCUCAAGGAUUUGAUCGUCAAUUGAGUUACCCCAACACCUAGUCACCAUUCGUCACUAUUUUAGAGUCGCAUCGUCCUUAGCCUUGCUCUGUUCUAACCAUUAUACCUUGAAUAUGAAAUUAGUCGAUAAGUGGACAAGAAAGAAGCAAAUCGCAAAGAACACCUCACGCAUAGGUCAAGCGAUGGGAACUCACCGGACAACUAACACUUCCAGACAAGGAACCAUGUCAUCAUACGAGAAAAGCUCACUACAAAACAAGAAUGGUAGUUAGAGUGAUGUGACUUCCUAAGACUUAAAACGACGCUGACAAGAACAGAGGAAUAAAAGUUUCCUGCCUAAAGUUACCUAUAAAAGCACUUCAUCUUCAGUAAGACAACGGAGCGACGUCUGAUUGGACUGCCACACACAAAAGACACAUGAAUGGGCUAGAGACCUGCAUGGACCAAAAAUAUGCUCUAUAUGGGCAAAAACCCGAAGAGUCGAUGGCAAGGAUUAGCUUAGCCACCAGAUGCUCAACAUUUCAUCUUUCCUGAUUAGAGUGUAACGUGAAAGCUUAGAUGAGAGGAAAAGAGUCAUCCCCCGUUUCCCCUAAGUGGUGUUUCAUUCCACUCUUCUUUCCUUCCAUUUUUGCAUUUCUUUGUAAUAUAUGUUGUUCAUAUUGUACAGUGGUCAAAUGCCUACAUUCUUUAUACAUAUAUUACUUGUUUAUGCCUUUUCAAUCCAUCA